ensembl:lncRNA
AUGCUCCCAAAGGUUGACAGGGAAAGGGUGGCCAACUUCAUGUGCCACAACAUCCAGACGGCAGACAAAUAUUAUGCCAUGAAUUUAAAUCCAACCCAAGCAAAUGAAACCAGGGCACUCUUUGAGGCUGCACUGAAGGGGGAAGAUAACACAGUCGCCGCAGAGAACCAGCCCUCCACCUCAGGAGAAAGAAAGCAGAAGGUGAGAGAGGAUGCCUCCCUCUCCGACGGGAGCACCACCCCUGAAGAGACCAAGGUGAUGUACCAGGAGUCUGGCACGUCCGCCGGUGACUCGGAAGAGGAGGAAGAGGAUGAAGAUGAGGAACAGAUGGCCAGACAACUUCCAGUAAGAUCAGCUAUUCUGACAGGACACAUUGUGGAGAUGGAACUUACCCCAAAGAGGAAGCGGAGCAUCUGCACACGCCGCAUGGAGGUCGCCAUCAGCCCCAUGCUAGUCUCACCCCUCAAAGUGAGGCUCAAGUCGCCCCCCCACCAGUCCCUCAUUGUCACAUUAAAAGGGAUGCAACAACUAAACUCAAAUAAAGUCAGACUAAAAAAUGCCAUUGCCUCAAGGAGGUUAAAGCUGCAGGAGAAGGUGCAAAAGAGAGGAGGGGACCCCUGAUGCAGCUCGAAGGAAGGGGAGCCGACCAACAACAAGACUUCCUCUUCCAAAUAGUCAUGUAGAUUGUUUUAGACUCUCACAUUUAUACUGUUCUGAUUUUGUUUGGUUUGAUUUUCAAUUUUGGUGUGCUUGUUUACAUUUUAGAAGUGUAAAAUGUGUGUAAUUUAGUCUAACUGUCUGUUCAAUUUUCUAUUUUGGUGUGAUUCUUUAUAAUGUAAAGGUUUGUUCUGUUUUAUUAAAUAACUAGUUUAGUAAUUAUUUGUGUUGUGCUUUCUUUAAGGUUAUAUUCUAACUGUCUGUUCAAUUUUCUAUUUUGGUGUGAUUCUUUAUAAUGUAAAGGUUUGUUCUGUUUUAUUAAAUAACUAGUUGAGUAAUUAUUUGUGUUGUGCUUUCUUUAAGGUUUAUAUUUAGUUUGUCACUUAAUUUGUAAGUGUUAAACAUUCACUGUCUUGUGUUGUUGUCUGUGAAGGUAGGAACAAAUAUUUAGGCAUUAUUGGCAUGGGAAUCAUAUGUUUACAUUGGCAAAGCAAAUUAAGUAGAUAAUAAACAAAAGUGAAAUAAACAAUAAAGUCCUGCUGUAGACUGUACUACUGCUGUUCAGGAAGCACAAUUUGAACUAGAAACUUACACAGACAGGCUGAAAUAAACACUAAAAAAUAACAAAUGGCAUCACCGUAAUAUCCCGCUUGACCGUGGCUCGCUCGGUCUGAGCGCAGCGACCAUGAGAAAAGUAAGCCCAAAAUGAAGCCUGCCCCACAACGUCAUUUGCUUUUGGGUGACAGUGAGAGAACCGUUAGGUUUAGAAGGACAAUUCAACCACAGGAAUGUUCCUAACGUCCUUCCGAUCCAUGCAAGCCUUACCUUGACCGUGUGGCAUCAACCCUUAAAAAUAAAACAGGGUUUUUUGAUCUCACAGAUUACAAUGACAUCUCUCCCCAUAGGAAUACAUUGACAGCUCCCCUAAAUUCAACCUGGAGCCUAUGUGGGUUAAUAAUGCCUUAUGAACCUGUCUUCAAUGCCAAUCCAUCAGGCCACUAUGAGGUCUACCUGUGUCGAUUCUAAGCUUCCUGGAGCAACCGGAAGUGGUUAAAUUCACCCAAAAUGUAUUUUGAUGUACAUAACCUGCAAAUGUGAAAAUGACUGCAUUCAACCCUGGGUAGAUCAGUCAAUUCUUAACAUAAAGACUUUAGGAUUCUCAGGAUUCUGUAAGAGAAUACCCAAAGCAAGAUAUUUGUUUACCUAUAGCUUCCUGUGCCAACCGGAAGUGCCUUUAAUUGGUGUCUCAGGGGCUUCUCCUUAGGAGGGAUGGGGACACCACCACGGGACAGACCCCACACUCAUCGCUAGAGAUCGAACUUCAGACUCCCUUCAAAACCACUGAACCCCUCAACACACCGAAAGAGAUUACGGUGCACACCCUUAGAGGGAGCCGGAACAGGAUAACUCCCUCCACCAUCACAGAGACACAGAGGAGGAGGAACUAUCCAACACCCAGGGAGAGAGAACAAGUGACGUCAGUCGAACACAGUCAGAAAGAGGAGGUGGAAGAGGCGUUAGAUAGAGGAGGAUAUUACCCCAGAGGCCAUUCCUCCUGUUCAUGUGAGCAAGAAAGAGCAGAAGGCUUCUGAUCAGCCAAAUGGCAGGCAGAGGGAGAGGUCAUAGUGAUUCACACCCACAGAGAGAAAGACAACCCACACAACCUCUUGGUUGAGAUGAACCACACAGGUAGAGGCAGAGGGCCUUCAGGGCUAGCCAGUCAGCCUGCCUGCUCUGAUCCUCAAGUCAAUUGUAUAUAAAUU